CCUACGGGUGGCAGCAGUGAGGAAUAUUGGUCAAUGGACGGGAGUCUGAACCAGCCAAGUAGCGUGCAGGAUGACUGCCCUAUGGGUUGUAAACUUCUUUUAUAUGGGAAUAAAACGUUCCACGUGUGGGAUUUUGUAUGUACCAUAUGAAUAAGGAUCGGCUAACUCCGUGCCAGCAGCCGCGGUAAUACGGAGGAUCCGAGCGUUAUCCGGAUUUAUUGGGUUUAAAGGGAGCGUAGGUGGAUUGUUAAGUCAGUUGUGAAAGUUUGCGGCUCAACCGUAACAUUGCAGUUGAAACUGGCAGUCUUGAGUACAGGAGAGGUGGGCGGAAUUCGUGGUGUAGCGGUGAAAUGCUUAGAUAUCACGAAGAACUCCGAUUGCGAAGGCAGUUCACUGGACUGCAACUGACACUGAGGCUCGAAAGUGUGGGUAUCAAACAGGAUUAGAUACCCUAGUAGUC
rnacentral:rRNA from 1 species